GGCAACCCAAUGUUCAUUCUUUCUGAAAAGAUGAGGAGAACUAAGAAAUCUCUUGUUCAACUUAACUCAUCGGCUGGUAAUCUUUCUAAUAAUGUAUGUAUGUAUCCUUCAGGCCCAGCUCUCUACCAUUCAGUCUUCUCUUCACUCUGAUCCCCACAGCACCUCCUUUCUCAGUCAGGAAUUUCUUUGUAUGCAGUCGCUAUGGAAAG
rnacentral:lncRNA from 1 species